rnacentral:rRNA from 1 species
CAGCAGCCGCGGUAAAACGUAGGUGGCAAGCGUUGUCCGGAAUUAUUGGGCGUAAAGGGCUCGCAGGCGGUUUCUUAAGUCUGAUGUGAAAGCCCCCGGCUCAACCGGGGAGGGUCAUUGGAAACUGGGAAACUUGAGUGCAGAAGAGGAGAGUGGAAUUCCACGUGUAGCGGUGAAAUGCGUAGAGAUGUGGAGGAACACCAGUGGCGAAGGCGACUCUCUGGUCUGUAACUGACGCUGAGGAGCGAAAGCGUGGUGAGCGAACAGGAUUAGAGACCCCAGUAGUCCCUGUCUCUUAUAU